rnacentral:snRNA from 1 species
GAUUGCCAGAAUGAUUCAACUGCUACACCUGAUUAGGCAAUUUAUUCCUUUCCUCCCUUACCACACCGUGUCUCUCCUAAAGCUAUGUGCUCAGUGGAAGAGGAUGACCAUUCCAGACAAGAGUGUGUCAUUCUUCGGUCAGGGGUGUAUGAUAGUUGCCCUGCCCUGCUAGAACCUCCAAAGAAGCUCACAGGUGUGAAUUUGUAACCCUUAAGUGAACAAAAUGGAUUUCUUCUCUGUUGUUAGUACCAGUGCCAACCAAC